rnacentral:rRNA from 1 species
UACGUAGGCAGCGAGCGUUGUUCGGAGUUACUGGGCGUAAAGGGUGUGUAGGCGGUUGUUUAAGUUUGGUGUGAAAUCUCCCGGCUUAACUGGGAGGGUGCGCCGAAUACUGAAUGACUUGGAGUGCGGGAGAGGAGAGUGGAAUUCCUGGUGUAGCGGUGAAAUGCGUAGAUAUCAGGAGGAACACCGGUGGUGUAGACGGCUCUCUGGACCGUAACUGACGCUGAGACACGAAAGCGUGGGUAGCAAACAGG